rnacentral:rRNA from 1 species
GACGAACGCUGGCGGCGUGCUUAACACAUGCAAGUCGAACGGAAAGGCCCUUCGGGGUACUCGAGUGGCGAACGGGUGAGUAACACGUGGGUGAUCUGCCCUGCACUUUGGGAUAAGCCUGGGAAACUGGGUCUAAUACCGAAUAGGACCACGCGCUUCAUGGUGUGUGGUGGAAAGCUUUUGCGGUGUGGGAUGGGCCCGCGGCCUAUCAGCUUGUUGGUGGGGUAAUGGCCUACCAAGGCGACGACGGGUAGCCGGCCUGAGAGGGUGACCGGCCACACUGGGACUGAGAUACGGCCCAGACUCCUACGGGAGGCAGCAGUGGGGAAUAUUGCACAAUGGGCGCAAGCCUGAUGCAGCGACGCCGCGUGAGGGAUGACGGCCUUCGGGUUGUAAACCUCUUUCACCAGGGACGAAGCGUAAGUGACGGUACCUGGAGAAGAAGCACCGGCUAACUACGUG